rnacentral:rRNA from 1 species
AAAGGGUGCGUAGGUGGGCAGGUAAGUCAGUGGUGAAAUCUCUGGGCUUAACCCGGAAACUGCCGUUGAUACUAUUUGUCUUGAAUAUAGUGGAGGUGAGCGGAAUAUGUCAUGUAGCGGUGAAAUGCUUAGAUAUGACAUAGAACACCAAUUGCGAAGGCAGCUCGCUACACUAUCAUUGACACUGAGGCACGAAAGCGUGGGGAUCAAACAGGAUUAGAUACCCUAGU